rnacentral:rRNA from 1 species
AGCGGUGAAAUGCGUAGAGAUCUGAAGGAAUACCAAUGGCGAAGGCAGCCACCUGGGUCGACACUGACGCUCAUGUACGAAAGCGUGGGUAGCAAACAGGAUUAGAUACCCUGGUAGUCCACGCCGUAAACGAUGUCUACUAGCCGUUGGGAGACUUGAUCUCUUAGUGGCGAAGCUAACGCGAUAAGUAGACCGCCUGGGGAGUACGGCCGCAAGGUUAAAACUCAAAUGAAUUGACGGGGGCCCGCACAAGCGGUGGAGCAUGUGGUUUAAUUCGAUGCAACGCGAAGAACCUUACCUACUCUUGACAUACUAGAAGCUUUUCAGAGAUGAAUUGGUGCCUUCGGGAAUCUAGAUACAGGUGCUGCAUGGCUGUCGUC